GCAGUUCUUGUGGAGCAAAGUGGAGUCUUCGAAGUGGCUAUAUGCAUAGGGGAAGAAAUGUACUAGGCUGGCUUGUAGAAUAAGCCCUUAAUCAAAUGCUCCAUACCAUCUGUUUGAGACAGUUUUGAGACUGGGAUCACUGUCUGGAACCACUGGCCACCCCCUGGAGGCUGGAGAGGUGGUGACAGCUGAGCAAUGAUGGA
rnacentral:lncRNA from 1 species